GGGCCGGUAGAUCAGUCUGGAAGAUCGUCCGCCUUGCACGCGGAAGGUCCGGGGUUCAAAUCCCCGCCGGUCCA
rfam:Candidatus Caldiarchaeum subterraneum DNA, complete genome, from subsurface mine microbial mat.